rnacentral:rRNA from 1 species
UACGUAGGGUGCAAGCGUUAAUCGGAAUUACUGGGCGUAAAGCGUGCGCAGGCGGUUUUGUAAGUCUGUCGUGAAAUCCCCGGGCUCAACCUGGGAAUUGCGAUGGAGACUGCAAGGCUAGAAUCUGGCAGAGGGGGGUAGAAUUCCACGUGUAGCAGUGAAAUGCGUAGAGAUCGGAAAGAACACCAACGGCGAAAGCACUCUGCUGGGCCGACACUGACACUGGAGAGACGAAAGCUAGGGGAGCGAAAUGGG